CCUACGGGAGGCUGCAGUGGGGAAUAUUGCGCAAUGGGCGAAAGCCUGACGCAGCGACGCCGCGUGAGGGAUGAAGGUCUUCGGAUCGUACACCUCUGUCAGCAGGGAAGAACGGUCACUGUGCUAAUCAGCAUUGAAUUGACGGUACCUGCAAAGGACGCACCGGCUCACUCCGUGCCAGCAGCCGCGGUAAUACGUAGGGGGCGAGCGUUAAUCGGAAUUACUGGGCGUAAGGCGCGCGUAGGCGGUAUGUCAAGUCAAGGGUGAAAUCCCCGCGCUCAACGUGGGAAAUGCUGUUGAAACUGGCAAACUGGAGUGUGUGAGAGGAUGGUGGAAUUCCAGGUGU
rnacentral:rRNA from 1 species